CCUACGGGAGGCAGCAGUGAGGAAUAUUGGUCAAUGGACGAGAGUCUGAACCAGCCAAGUAGCGUGAAGGAUGACUGCCCUAUGGGUUGUAAACUUCUUUUAUAUGGGAAUAAAAUGUUCCACGUGUGGGAUUUUGUAUGUACCAUAUGAAUAAGGAUCGGCUAACUCCGUGCCAGCAGCCGCGGUAAUACGGAGGAUCCGAGCGUUAUCCGGAUUUAUUGGGUUUAAAGGGGGCGUAGGUGGAUUGUUAAGUCAGUUGUGAAAGUUUGCGGCUCAACCGUAAGAUUGCAGUUGAAACUGGCAGUCUUGAGUACAGUAGAGGUGUGCGGAAUUCGUGGUGUAGCGGUGAAAUGCUUAGAUAUCACGAAGAACUCCGAUUGCGAAGGCAGUUCACUGGACUGCAACUGACACUGAGGCUCGAAAGUGUGGGUAUCAAACAGGAUUAGAUACCCCUGUAGUC
rnacentral:rRNA from 1 species